CAUAACAAUUUUGACUUGGGAUAUAUAUUGAUAUGAACUGAACCAUUCCAGCGUAAAACUAUGGGGCUUUGGAAUCAGAUCACAUGAGUUAGAAGUCUCCUCUUUCAGUAACCGCAGUGCCUGAUUUCGUUGGUAUUAUGUAAUUUUGACAAGCCUUACUUCCUUCAUCUAUUAAAUAAUGAAAAAGUAUCUUUCUUAAAGCUAUUAUGAGAAUUAAACAGGACUGUGUAUAAGGCUAUACACAAUAUUAAUUUCCUUUCUCAAAAUGAAGUAUUUGGGGCCUUGCCAAUUUUGGUUUAGUGAGAAUUAUCAAGGCUGGCUUAUGAAAUAUUGAAAAGUGAUUUGCAAAUCAAAACUUUGUGGCCAUACUUUACUUUCUAAUGCUAUCUCCAUGAAUACAAGGGCCAUCUCUGUUUUGUUUACCAGUACCCAGGACAAUGAGUGAACUUGAUGAUAGUGCACCCAUUUUCACUGGAGGCCAUGGGAGGAUGCUGUGUGGCCAGCUGAAGACUGCCGUUCUUAGGUUAAAAGCAUGCAGAAUUAUUAGGCAGAAGAGACCCAGCCUGCCCUGAGGAGGCUGCCCAUCAGGGUGUUACAUGGAGGAGCAGCACACAUUCUCUCAGAGGCAGGAAGAAUCCAAAGAGAAAGAGAAGAGACAGGGGUCAGCCACUAGGUCCCCAAGCUCACAAGUCAGCCCCAGGCCCAGAAAAGCAGCAAAACCAGACCAGUGACGCUGUGGCAGCCUCAGGACCAGCUUUUACCUCCCAGUCACUCAGCAGGAUCACUGAGCCUUCACCAGCCCGUCUCGGGGAGACCAUGCUGCUGCACCCCUCGCUCCAACCAGAAGGAACCUGUACGACAUUCCAGCUGACUACACUCAAAGGCCAGCCCCCUGUGAUCUUGACAUCCAGACUCAGCAGCAAGUAACUACAGAAGACAUGACCUUUGUCCCUAUUCCAUAAAACAAAAAGGCUGGAAUGUUAGGUUUGAUGGAGCAAUUGAGUUGGUACUCUUCCCCCAGGAACUGGCUUUUCAGGUCAUUUCACAAUGGACAUUCCCUUUGACCACAUUCCAUUCUCUCUCCUCCAGGUCUGCAUAAAGAAGUGUCCACCCAGAAAAAGUCCCAUCAAAAGUCCUUUAGAAGCCGCUGACUGCCCUCACUGGGUGCUGGAGCCAUCCAGGCUCAGCCACCUGGUGUGUGGAUGAUCGAAUAAA